rnacentral:lncRNA from 1 species
AGGAUUCAAGAAGUUUCUACAUUGCUAUGGUCUACACCCUUUCGAUUAUAUGGAAAUUGAAAACCUUUCUAUUAUAUGGAAAUUUAAAAAUGAACUCAUCUUUCAAGGAUCUAAUCCGUCCUACAGGUGCUAUUAAAAGGAUUUUUGAUCUCUACCAUUUGAUUCUUGCGCCUAUCCUACUAAUAUUUUCCAGACUAAUCAAUCAAGGACUUAGUCUUCUCCCAGUCCUAGAGAGCACUUCAUCUAAUGGUCGCUUUAGCAUGGUUCAAAAUUGACAAAAUGACAUGACUCGAGGAACUACUAUGGUUCAAAAGUCAAAAGGAUUCCAAUUGUUGCCCGUUUGAAGCUUCAAGUUUGCUAGAAAACUUAAGGCUACAAUUCUUAUCCUUCGCGCUAUUCUU